rnacentral:rRNA from 1 species
UAACACAUGCAAGUCGAGCGCCCGGCAACGGGAGCGGCAGACGGGUGAGUAACGCGUGGGGAUCUGCCCAUUGGUACGGAAUAACCCAGGGAAACUUGGACUAAUACCGUAUAAGCCCUUUUGGGGAAAGAUUUAUCGCCAAUGGAUGAACCCGCGUCGGAUUAGCUAGUUGGUGAGGUAAAGGCUCACCAAGGCGACGAUCCGUAGCUGGUCUGAGAGGAUGAUCAGCCACACUGGGACUGAGACACGGCCCAGACUCCUACGGGAGGCAGCAGUGGGGAAUAUUGGACAAUGGGCGCAAGCCUGAUCCAGCCAUGCCGCGUGAGUGAUGAAGGCCUUAGGGUUGUAAAGCUCUUUCGCCGGUGAAGAUAAUGACGGUAACCCGGAGAAGAAGCCCCGGCUAACUUCGUGCCAGCAGCCGCGGUAAUACGAAGGGGGCUAGCGUUGCUCGGAAUCACUGGGCGUAAAGCGCACGUAGGCGGGUCGUUAAGUCAGGGGUGAAAUCCUGGAGCUCAACUCCAGAACUGCCCUUGAUACUGGCGACCUCGAUUUCGAAAGAGGUUGGUGGAACUUCGAGUGUAGAGGUGAAAAUUCGUAAGAUAUU